rnacentral:lncRNA from 1 species
UCAGCAGAGUGCCCAUUUCUACAAGAUACCAACUCGGACUCUUGGAAGCAGUCAUGCAAGUCGUCGUCGUCCGUCGUCCCCCCCGCCCCCCGCCCCACCGCGACCCCUCUCUAUUGCUAGUUCCCAUCCUCACCCCUAUUUCUCUAUCUUCCAUCACAAUCAGCAAUAAUGACUUUUUACGGCGACCAUAAAAGUAUACCGAACGUCCUUGUUUUAAAAAUACGAAAACUAACUUGGACUGAAGAAUGACUUGUUCAAGGUCACAUAACCAAUCAGAAGCAGUACAAAUACCAGCACAAAUCGGCUUCUUCGGUCCCAUGCUGUCUCUAAAGAGAAAACGACAUUCACAACACAGUGCGUAGUUUCUUAUUCAUGAUGGGCUAGUUAUGGGCUAGCUAUAUACGGAUUACCUAUAUGCAUAUAUAUGUAUUCUGAGGUCAAUUGAAUAAACAAGGGAUAAAACGCACCUGGAGCACUGGAGCAUUGUAAGCACUAUAUUAACCUCAAAGGUAUCAAAUUAUUGUGUCGAAAACAGCAAAGCUGGAGCCUGGACCCAGUGCCUCGGCCAUGAUUGGGACGGAUUGUUUACGGGAUCAGAAGGUAGACAGGAAGGAGUCCCGCCAGCCCGCCUCCCUCCCGCCUCGCAGCCUCCCUCUAGCGCCCCCUAGCUUCCGCCCGAACAGACCCAGCGGCCAGGGAACCGGCGGGAAGCGUGGUUCGCAGAGUUGCAGCCGCGGCGGCGGCGCAAAGUACCAUCACAGAGCAGAGCAUAGAAGGUUCUGUAUUUGGGAGUCUGUGACCAGCCUCACAAGAAGGCAGAAAAUCUGCUGCAAACCCAGUUUGAUUUAAGGUGUGUUGAGAAGGGCCUCUACUCCUUCCAAUACUUGGCAUAGUACCAGCUUUUCCUCUGUUGAGGAAUUAAUUCCUUUGGAUCUUGAAGAUUUUGGUCUCAAAAGAUCUUUACUGAAACGCCCAUACCCCAAGGAGAGGGAGUGUGGUAAGUUUUCUUAUCAUCUAAUAAUUUGAUUUGGAGUUGACUUUCUUUGCAAGAAGGGUCCAGAACAGGGAUGCAUCCAAGUAUGGUGGGACCUGAAACUUACACAGUUUCGAGGAAGACUCUUUAACAAAAAAGAAUAAACUUUUACCAAUAAAAAAUUAGGUAAAGGAU